rnacentral:rRNA from 1 species
UACGGAGGGAGCUAGCGUUGUUCGGAAUUACUGGGCGUAAAGCGUGCGUAGGCGGCCUAGCAAGUUGGGGGUGAAAUCCCGGAGCUUAACUCCGGAACUGCCUCCAAAACUGCUAAGCUAGAAUCCUGGAGAGGUGAGUGGAAUUCCUAGUGUAGAGGUGAAAUUCGUAGAUAUUAGGAAGAACACCAGUGGCGAAGGCGACUCACUGGACAGGUAUUGACGCUGAGGUACGAAAGCGUGGGGAGCGAACAGG